UACGAAGGGGGCGAGCGUUGUUCGGAAUUACUGGGCGUAAAGGGCGCGUAGGCGGCGACUCAAGUUAGAUGUGAAAGUCCUGGGCUUAACCUGGGGACUGCAUUUGAUACUGGGUUGCUUGAAUUCGGGAGAGGAUAGCGGAAUUCCCAGUGUAGAGGUGAAAUUCGUAGAUAUCUGGAGGAACACCGGUGGCGAAGGCGGCAUCCUGGACCGGCAUUGACGCUGAGGCGCGAAAGCUAGGGGAGCAAACGGG
rnacentral:rRNA from 1 species